rnacentral:rRNA from 1 species
GACGAACGCUGGCGGCGUGCCUAAUACAUGCAAGUAGAACGCUGAAGGAGGAGCUUGCUCUUCCGGAUGAGUUGCGAACGGGUGAGUAACGCGUAUGGAACCUCCCUGGUAGCGGGGGAUAACUAUUGGAAACGAUAGCUAAUACCGCAUAACAGUAGAUGUUGCAUGACAUUUACUUAAAAGGUGCAAUUGUAUUACUACCAGAUGGACCUGCGUUGGAUUAGCUAGUUGGUGGUGUAACGGCUUACCAAGGGGACGAUACAUUGCCGGCCUGGGAGGGGGGUCGGCCACCCUGGGACUGGGACAAGGCCCAGGCUCCUAAGGGAAGGAGCAGUAGGGAAUCUUCGGCAAUGGACGGAAGUCUGACCGAGCAACGCCGCGUGAGGGGAGGAGGUUUUCGGGUCGUAAAGAUCUGUUGUAAGGGGAGAACGAGUGUGGGAGGGGAAAGUUCACACUGUGACGGUAUCUUACCAGAAAGGGACGGCUAACUACGUG